AGCAGAGUGGCGCAGCGGAAGCGUGCUGGGCCCAUAACCCCAGAGGUCGAUAGAUCGAAACUAUCCUCUGCUA
rnacentral:tRNA from 1 species